UGGAUGCUGCAGGUUCCUCCCGACUGUGAGGCAUAAAUCUCAAGGGAACGGCAGCAGAAAGGUGAAAAACUGCUGGAAACACAGCGCAGGAUUCAGGAUUUAUUUGGAGUUUUUCUUCUACAUGUGAAUGACAAAAUGAUAGCAGCCUUCUUCCUGCCAAGGGUUAGCAAUUAGUAUGGCAAAAGGAAAAGGUAAUUUGAUGGUGAGUUUGGCAAAGAGCUCUUACGCAUGCCUUGAUGUUGCACUGCAACAAUAAUGUAUAAAAUCACCUUUGACAAGGCAUCGCACCCUGGCAAUCCUUCAGGAGAUUUUUUGCUUAAAUAAGAGCCAGGCAAGGGCUCCGCCACGGAGAAUGCUUGCUGCUUGGCCGUGACAGGCGAGGUCCCGCUUAAGCACGCUGCACAUUUUAAAAGUUUGUAAGCAUUCUUGUGACAGUAUAAAAAUGGUUGGAGGGCAUCAGAUGCUAGGAUAAUGAGGUUGGUAUAAUUAGCCUUGAUGGAUAGGUAACGAGAUAGAGAAGCAUGGAUGGGAAUUAAUAGAUUAAACAGCCAGAUUAACUACUACUGUUUAAAGAGUGACUCCUGACCCAGCCCUCCAGCUGCAAGUGAUCUGUCUCAGCUAGCUCUGCUAUAAAGCUGCAAGGCAGGGCAGCCCACCCCUUUCUCUUGUAGGUUGGUUGUGUCUUAUUGGAAGAAGGAAUGCUAAAGUCAUUACAUCCCCUUCCCUCCCGUUCCAAGGGGAGCCAGGCUGUGCUGCUAGAACGGUAAGGAAGCAGGGGCUCUCCCAGAGCUGCUGCGCUGCUCUGCUUCAGCGUUUCAUCCCGUCAACCCACACGUCCUCAUCUCCUGCUGCUGCAGGGAGCAGACUCGGACAGCAGCAGCAGGCAAAGAGGUGCAGAGCUGCUCCACGUCGGUCUGGCCAGCGCUCAUCCCUCCCAGCCAGCGUUUCAGUUCCCAAGCAGAGCUCGGUGCCACGGGUGUUAGCAGAGCUGUGUUCUGAAUAAGGAUUCCUGAGAUCAAAUGGCAUCAUAUGAGCAGUCGAGGCAGAGCUCACCCCAAAAACUGAAUCAACGUAGCUUAGGUGAAUUUGUCUUGCUUAGACACAGCUCUUUGUAGCCCUUACCGAGGAUAAGGAAAAUAUAGGAAGCCAUCCUUAUGGUAAUCCCUGGGUUAAUGGUAAGCAUUAACGAAGCGAUUCCUCCAGCCUGCAGAACCCAUAGCAACCAGUCAUUAAGGACACUCAGCGUGAGGAUCCAAGCUAAAGAAAGAAAGUUCCUUGAAACACUUGCACACGCACAUACCAAUCAGACAAGAAAAUGUUCUGCAAUUUCUCCAGGACAGACUUGAAGACUAUUGCAGUGGCCCCAUCUCUGAGGAAGGAAGGAACUAAUUGCAAAAGGAUUUUAAAAAGAAAGAUUGUAACUAGCCCCAAACAGUGAAAUGGAUUUUACUUCCUCUGCUCUGAUAAAUAUUUAAUUAUCAAAUGUAA